rnacentral:rRNA from 1 species
GACGAACGCUGGCGGCGUGCCUAAUACAUGCAAGUUGAGCGCUGAAGGUUGGUACUUGUACCAACUGGAUGAGCAGCGAACGGGUGAGUAACGCGUGGGGAAUCUGCCUUUGAGCGGGGGACAACAUUUGGAAACGAAUGCUAAUACCGCAUAAAAACUUUAAACACAAGUUUUAAGUUUGAAAGAUGCAAUUGCAUCACUCAAAGAUGAUCCCGCGUUGUAUUAGCUAGUUGGUGAGGUAAAGGCUCACCAAGGCGAUGAUACAUAGCCGACCUGAGAGGGUGAUCGGCCACAUUGGGGCUGAGACACGGCCCAAACUCCUACGGGAGGCAGCAGUAGGGAAUCUUCGGCAAUGGACGAAAGUCUGACCGAGCAACGCCGCGUGAGUGAUGAAGGUUUUCGGAUCGUAAAACUCUGUUGGUAGAGAAGAACGUUGGUGAGAGUGGAAAGCUCAUCAAGUGACGGUAACUACCCAGAAAGGGACGGCUAACUACGUG